rnacentral:tRNA from 1 species
CCGUCGAUAGCUCAGUUGGUAGAGCGGUGGACUGUAGCGGUUCAACAAUGCGGAUAUCCAUAGGUCGCUGGUUCGAAUCCGGCUCGACGGA